rnacentral:rRNA from 1 species
AUUGAACGCUGGCGGAAUGCUUUACACAUGCAAGUCGAACGGCAGCACGGACUUCGGUCUGGUGGCGAGUGGCGAACGGGUGAGUAAUAUAUCGGAACGUGCCCAGUCGUGGGGGAUAACGUAGUGAAAUUACGCUAAUACCGCAUACGAUCUAAGGAUGAAAGCGGGGAUCGCAAGACCUCGCGCGAUUGGAGCGGCCGAUAUCAGAUUAGGUAGUUGGUAGGGUAAAGGCCUACCAAGCCAACGAUCUGUAGCUGGUCUGAGACGGACGACCAGCCACACUGGAACUGAGACACGGUCCAG